rnacentral:rRNA from 1 species
UCGCUACUACCGAUUGAAUGGUUUAGUGAGGCCUCCGGACUAGACCUUCGAAGGUGGCAACACCAUCUUAGGAUUAGGAUGUUGGACAAACUUGACUAUUUAGAGGAAGUAA